rnacentral:rRNA from 1 species
GGCUUGUUGAUAAUAAUUUCAGGUCUAGCCUGCCCAAUGAGAAAUUAAAUGGCCGCAGUAUAUUGACUGUGCAAAGGUAGCAUAAUCACUAGUUUUUUAAUUGAAAGCUUGUAUGAAAGGUUUGAUGAAAAGAUUUCUGUCUCUGGAAUAAUUUAUUAGAAUUUUAUUUUUAAGUGAAAAAGCUUAAAUGUUAUUGGAAGACGAGAAGACCCUAUAGAGUUUUAUAUUUUAGUUAAGUAAUUAUAUUAGGAAUUUAGGAAGUUAUUUUUUUUGAGUAUUUUAUUGGGGUGAUGAAAAAAUUUAUAAAACUUUUUUUCAAUGGGUACAUUGAUUUAUGAGUGUUUGAUCCUAAAAUUUAGAUUACAAGAAAAAAUUACCUUAGGGAUAACAGCGUAAUUUUUUCUAGAGUUCUUAUCAAAAAGAAAGGUUGCGACCUCGAUGUUGGAUUAAAAUUAAUUGUUGGUGAAGAGGCUAAUUGAUUAGGUCUGUUCGACCUUUAAAAUUUUACAUGAUCUGAGUUUAAACCGGUGUGAG